GACGAACGCUGGCGGCGUGCCUAACACAUGCAAGUCGAGCGGGGUUGAAGCGAGGGGUAACUCGAGUUUCUACCUAGCGGCGGACGGGUGAGUAACGCGUGGGCAACCUGCCUCAAGGACUGGGAUAACAGCUCGAAAGGGCUGCUAAUACCGGAUAAGCCUAUGGCCUCGCAUGGGGCCAUGAGCAAAGGGGAAACCUGCCUUGAGAUGGGCCCGCGUCCCAUCAGCUAGUUGGUGAGGUGAAGGCUCACCAAGGCGACGACGGGUAGCCGGCCUGAGAGGGUGACCGGCCACACUGGGACUGAGACACGGCCCAGACUCCUACGGGGGCAGCAGUGGGGAAUCUUGCACAAUGGGCGAAAGCCUGAUGCAGCGACGCCGCGUGAGCGAAGAAGGCCUCGGUGUAAAGCUCUGUCUGGAGGGACGAAGGAAGUGACGGUACCUCCGGAGGAAGCCACGGCGUAACUACGUGCCAGCAGCCGCGGUAAACUCCGUCUCUA
rnacentral:rRNA from 1 species